rnacentral:rRNA from 1 species
CGGACGGGUGAGUAACGCGUGAGAAUCUGCCUUUUGGUCGGGGACAACCACUGGAAACGGUGGCUAAUACCGGAUGUGCCUACGGGUAAAAGAUUUAUUGCCAGAAGAAGAGCUCGCGUCUGAUUAGCUAGUUGGUAGGGUAAAAGCCUACCAAGGCAUCGAUCAGUAGCUGGUCUGAGAGGAUGACCAGCCACACUGGGACUGAGACACGGCCCAGACUCCUACGGGAGGCAGCAGUGGGGAAUUUUCCGCAAUGGGCGAAAGCCUGACGGAGCAAGACCGCGUGAGGGAGGAAGGCUCUUGGGUUGUAAACCUCUUUUGUCAGGGAAGAAGAAAGUGACGGUACCUGACGAAUCAGCAUCGGCUAACUCCGUGCCAGCAGCCGCGGUAAUACGGAGGAUGCAAGCGUUAUCCGGAAUUAUUGGGCGUAAAGCGUCCGCAGGUGGCACUUCAAGUCUGUCGUCAAAGACCGGGGCUUAACCCUGGAAAGGCGAUGGAAACUGAAAGGCUAGAGAGAGGUAGGGGUAGAGGGAAUUCCCAGUGUAGCGGUGAAAUGCGUAGAGAUUGGGAAGAACAUCGGUGGCGAAAGCGCUCUACUGGACCUCAUCUGACACUCAGGGACGAAAGCUAGGGGAGCGAAUGGGAUUAGAUACCCCAGUAGUC